AUUGAACGCUGGCGGCAUGCCUUACACAUGCAAGUCGAACGGCAGCACGGGAGCUUGCUCCUGGUGGCGAGUGGCGAACGGGUGAGUAAUACAUCGGAACGUACCCUGAAGUGGGGGAUAACGUAGCGAAAGUUACGCUAAUACCGCAUAUUCUGUGAGCAGGAAAGCAGGGGAUCGCAAGACCUUGCGCUGAUUGAGCGGCCGAUAUCAGAUUAGCUAGUUGGUGAGGUAAAGGCUCACCAAGGCGACGAUCUGUAGCGGGUCUGAGAGGAUGAUCCGCCACACUGGAACUGAGACACGGUCCAGACUCCUACGGGAGGCAGCAGUGGGGAAUUUUGGACAAUGGGGGCAACCCUGAUCCAGCCAUGCCGCGUGAGUGAAGAAGGCCUUCGGGUUGUUAAAGGUACUACUUUCGUCCGUUCGUAGAACGGAAUGAUGACGGUAUCAGGAGAAGAAGACCCGG
rnacentral:rRNA from 1 species